rnacentral:lncRNA from 1 species
UAAAAAAAAUAUAUAUAUAUACACACACAUAUACAUAUAUGUGUAACCCAGUAGAAUUGCUUGUCAACUCUGGGAGGGAGGAGGGAAAAAGGAGGGAGAACAAGAAUUGAGUAACCAUGAAAAAAUUUAAAAAUAAACUAAAAAUAAAUAAAAAUAAAUAUAUAUGUAUGUUUUAUCUUUAUAGAUAGAUAUUUAUUUUUAAGUUCAACAAUACCUAGUCAAGAAUCCCUGUACUAAAGCUUAAAGGAACAGCAAAUUUCUUAGACAAAGAGAACACUGGCUUUAGAUCUGGGUUCAAAUCUAAGGACUGCCAAUAAAGUGACCUUGGGACACUCUCUUAGUCCCUUUAGGUCCCAGGUUCUUCAUCUUCAAAGUGAGAUGGUAGAACAAGAUGGUCUUUCAGGUCUCUUUCAACUCUAAGUCUCAGAUCUUAUUACUAUUUUCAUCUACUGCUUCUUAGAACAGAAAGCUUUAGAGAAUCCCCAAAUGUACUGAGCAAAAUAAUCAGAUAGAAUUAGUGGCUUUAUGGUUCAGGAUGUCACCACAUCACUGACUCUUCCCUUUUCUUCUUCCAAGCCAAAAGCCUGGACAAAAAGCCAGAAAAAUGGCCAAGCCCUGAGUCAGAGGAUGAGUGCCUGAUCUAUAAAGGAUCUGUCCCUAAAUAGAGACUGCAUUCCAUCCAUGCCUGCCCAUCCUGUGUACGUGUCCACAAGAUUUACCAAUGUGGUCCACCUACUCCUUUGUUUUCUGAUAAAAAUAAGGUUCUUAUUCACAGAGUCAUCUUCCUAGAGCAGGAAGGGACCCCAGAAGCUAUCUAAUUCGAACUUAUAAUUGUACAGAUGAGGAGACUGAAGCCAAAAGAGUCUGGGCAACAUGUCCAAGGACAUAUAGGUUAUAAGCAUUAGAGACAAGAUUGAAACUCAGCAACUGUCUCCAAAGCCUAUAAGGUUUGCCCAUAUUCAGUUCAAAUCAUAAAUACCCCACAAACCUUGCAUUAUCUAGAAUUAUAAAUAGAAUAAUAGAAAUAUAAAU